CAGAGCAGGUGCAGAGGCACUGCAGCUGCCCGGUUGCCCAGCCUCCUGAAUGAUGCCAGCCCAGUAUGCUCUAACCUCCAGCCUGGUUCUCCUUGUGCUGCUGAGCACAGCCAGAGCAGGCCCCUUCUCUUCACGGUCCAAUGUGACACUGCCAGCCCCCCGGCCCCCUCCCCAGCCAGGGGGCCGCACAGUGGGGGCUGGAGUGGGAAGCCCCUCUUCUCAGCUUUACGAGCACACAGUGGAAGGAGGGGAGAAGCAGGUGGUAUUCACCCACCGCAUUAACCUGCCCCCUUCCACUGGCUGUGGCUGUCCCCCAGGCACCGAGCCCCCAGUCCCUGCUUCAGAGGUACAGGCCCUGAGGGUCCGUCUAGAAAUCCUGGAGGAGUUGGUGAAGGGGCUCAAGGAACAGUGCACUGGAGGAUGUUGUCCUGCCUCUGCCCAAGCUGGCACAGGUGAGCAGGUGAUCACAGAAGAGGGUGGAGAGGUGGGCUGGGGUGGGCAUUGCUGGUCCAUAAAGGUCCUUGGUAUGAAUUAGAAGAAGGCACUCCUUCCUCACCAUGAGGGGUGUGGAUGCAGCCCAGAACACAACUUGGAGAGCAGAGCUGGGCUACAUGUCAACCAAAGCAUAUGCGAGGGCCCUGAGAGGCUGCAUACAUUACACAUACUAGCAACUGGGAGCAGACAUGGCCUUAUGAGAUGAGGCUAGCCUGGCUAGGGGCCUGCACAUAGGAGCACUAUAUAGGCUCAGCCUCUCUCCCAGGAGAGAGACUGAGACCUGCCUCUCCCUCCUACUCCAGGUCAGACAGAUGUGCGGACCCUCUGCAGUCUCCAUGGUGUGUUUGAUCUGAGCCACUGCACCUGUUCCUGUGAGCCAGGCUGGGGUGGGCCCACCUGCUCAGACCCCACAGAUGCUGAGAUCCCUCCCUCCUCCCCACCCUCAGCCUUGGGGUCCUGCCCAGAUGACUGCAAUGAUCAGGGUCGCUGUGUCCGUGGUCGUUGUGUGUGCUUUCCCGGCUACACUGGCCCCAGCUGUGGCUGGCCAUCCUGUCCCGGGGACUGCCAAGGCCGUGGGCGCUGCGUGCAGGGCGUGUGCGUGUGCCGGGCAGGCUUCUCAGGCCCCGACUGCAGCCAGCACUCCUGCCCUCGAGGUUGCAGCCAGAAGGGACGCUGUGAGGAUGGGCGCUGCGUGUGUGACCCAGGCUACACUGGUGACGACUGUGGCAUGAGGAGCUGCCCUCGCGGUUGCAGUCAGAGGGGGCGCUGUGAGAAUGGGCGCUGCGUGUGUAACCCCGGCUACACUGGCGAGGACUGUGGGGUGAGGAGCUGCCCUCGGGGCUGCAGCCAGCGGGGACGCUGCGAGGACGGGCGCUGCGUGUGUGACCCCGGCUACACUGGCGAGGACUGUGGUACGCGGAGCUGCCCCUGGGACUGUGGCGAGGGCGGGCGCUGCGUGGACGGCCGCUGCGUGUGCUGGCCCGGGUACACAGGCGAGGACUGCAGCACGCGGACAUGUCCGAGGGACUGCCGGGGCCGCGGGCGCUGCGAGGACGGCGAAUGCAUUUGCGACACGGGCUACAGCGGGGACGACUGUGGCGUGCGCAGCUGCCCUGGCGACUGCAACCAAAGGGGCCGCUGCGAGGACGGCCGCUGCGUGUGCUGGCCGGGGUACACUGGAACCGAUUGCGGCUCGCGCGCCUGCCCACGCGACUGUAGAGGUCGCGGGCGCUGCGAGAACGGCGUGUGUGUUUGCAAUGCGGGCUACAGCGGCGAGGACUGCGGUGUGCGCAGCUGUCCUGGGGACUGUCGUGGCCGGGGCCGCUGUGAGAGUGGCCGCUGCGUGUGUUGGCCGGGGUACACAGGCCGGGACUGCGGCACGCGCGCCUGUCCUGGCGACUGUCGCGGGCGCGGGCGCUGCGUGGAUGGCCGCUGCGUGUGCAACCCGGGCUUCACCGGUGAGGACUGUGGGAGCCGUCGCUGUCCCGGGGACUGCCGUGGGCACGGCCGUUGCGAGGAUGGCGUGUGCGUGUGUGACGCAGGCUACUCAGGGGAAGACUGCAGCACGCGCAGCUGCCCCGGGGGCUGCCGAGGCCGCGGCCAGUGCCUAGAUGGGCGGUGUGUGUGCGAGGACGGCUACUCUGGCGAGGAUUGCGGUGUGAGGCAGUGCCCGAAUGACUGCAGCCAGCACGGCGUGUGCCAGGACGGUGUGUGCAUCUGUUGGGAAGGCUACGUGGGUGAGGACUGCAGCAUCCGCACCUGCCCCUCCAACUGCCACGGGAGGGGCCGCUGUGAGGAAGGGCGCUGCCUGUGCGACCCAGGCUACACCGGCCCCACCUGUGCCACCCGCAUGUGCCCGGCUGACUGCCGGGGACGUGGGCGCUGUGUGCAAGGAGUGUGCCUGUGCCACGUGGGCUAUGGCGGUGAGGACUGCGGGCAGGAAGAGCCUCCAGCCAGCGCCUGCCCUGGAGGCUGCGGGCCCCGGGAACUGUGCCGGGCAGGCCAGUGUGUGUGUGUAGAGGGCUUCCGAGGCCCUGACUGUGCCAUCCAGACAUGCCCAGGGGACUGCCGUGGCCGAGGAGAGUGUCACGAUGGCAGCUGUGUCUGCAAAGAUGGGUAUGCUGGCGAAGACUGCGGAGAAGGUGAGCAGGCAGCCUUCCCCAGUGUACUCUGG
rnacentral:sRNA from 1 species